rnacentral:tRNA from 1 species
UACAGGGCAGUAUUUGUGUACAGAAAAUUUUGGUUUUUCAAAGGGAAGUUGGUGUCCUCCUGUAU